UAUCUCUGUAGAGUCUGCAUAUCAAUAAGCGGAGGAAAAGAAACUAACUAGGAUUCCCUCAGUAACGGCGAGUGAAGCGGGAAGAGCUCAAAUUUGAAAUCUUCAAGGUUCUACCUUGACGAAUUGUAGUUUAAAGAAGGUGUUUUCUGUUGGAUGUUUUGGUAAAAGUUCUUUGGAAUAGGACAUCAUAGAGGGUGAGAAUCCCGUAUUUGACCAUUACUUCCAGCGUUGUGAUACACUUUCAAAGAGUCGGAUUGUUUGGGAAUGCAGUCCAAAAUGGGUGGUAAAUUUCAUCUAAAGCUAAAUAUUGGCGAGAGACCGAUAGCGAACAAGUACCGUGAGGGAAAGAUGAAAAGAACUUUGAAAAGAGAGUUAAACAGUACGUGAAAUUGUCAAAAGGGAAGCGUUUGACACCAGUGUUGUUUUCUCGAAAAUCAAUUAAAAAAGGCUAGGAUUUUGUAUUGUAAUUGACUUUAUCAGCUUACUGCUACUCUUUUCUUGCUUUUUUUAAUGCACUUUUCGUUUAACAAGUCAACAUCAAUUUCUUUUGUUGUAAAAGAGUCAUUGGAAGGUGGCUUUCACUUCGGUGAAAGUGUUUAUAGCCUUUGGCUUCUGCAAUCGGAGAGAUUGAGGUCUGCAGCGUAGAUCCUUCGGGGCUAGAUACGUAGAUGCUAAGUUAUAGUUUUUUAUAGACAACUUGUUGACUAUAAUUAAUCAUGUAGCUUACUCGUUUGCGCUAUUUUACCUACGCUUAGGAUGUUGACGAUCAGCUGAGCGCG
rnacentral:rRNA from 1 species